CUAAAAUGGUAUGUGAAAAAAUGGUAUCCUUAUCAAUUACUUGUGGAAAUGUAAAAUGGUACAUCCACUACCCAAAACAGCUUAGCAGUUUCUUAAAAAGUUACACGUAAACUUACCAAAUAACCCAGCCAUUCUACUCUUAAGAAUCUACCUGAGAAAUAAAAACAUAUGCACAAAGAUUUGAACAUAAGUAUUCAUAGCAGCAUUACCAUAAUAGCCCCAAACUAGAAAUAACCCAAGUGUCUAACAAUCUGAUAAAUGAAUAAAUGUGGUAUAUCCAUAUAGUGGAAUAUUUGUCAGCAAUUGAAAGGAAUGCAAACACUGAUACAUGUUAAAAUAUGGAUGGACCUCAAAAAUAUGGUAAACGAAAAAAAAGUGAGAUCCACAAGGAUACAUACUGUAUGAUUCCAUUUAUAGGAAAUGCACAAAAAUGCAUAUUUAUAAAGACAGAGAGUAGAUCAAUGGUUGCUGGGGCUGGGAGUGUGUGAGUGGGUAUUCAUUGCAAACAGAUUUGUGAGGAACUCAGGGAAAAGUUCUAAAAUGGAAAUGUUCUAAAAUCAGAUUGUGCUUGGGGUUUGCACAUCUUUAUAAAUUUACUUAAAAUUAUUGAAUUAUAAUUUACGGUAAAUAAAUUAUUGCCCAAUAAAGCUGUACAUUUUUUGUUUAAAUUUUUAAGGGAAAAAAAAGCCAAGAAAAAAAUUUAGAUGAGGUUGUUAUUUACACAGGCUACUGUGCUUACUUUUAUUGUAGCACUUAAUUAUGCUCUUCAAAUCAGUUAUUUCUCUGACUUUCCCAUUGGAAAUGUAAACAGGAUCACAACUGAUGGAUUUGAUAAUUGUCCUUUACUGCAUUAGGUAUUUAGAUGGGGGCUACCUUUCUUGGCCAACUGACAUCUCAAGCACCCACCGCUGAAGCUGAAAGCAGAAAUCAGGAAGAGCCAGGAGAUUAAAGAGAAUAAAAGGCAUACAAUAUGCAUAUGAAUCCAUGAAGACAUGUUUCAUGGAACUGUUCAAUGCAUCCAAAGAGCCCAGUGUGAGAAUCCCACUGGAAUGACAGUUGAUGUGCCUGCCAGUCACCCUGGGGCAGGGAAGUGAUACCAGCCUAGAGGAGAAGAGGAGGGACAGGCAGGUGAAAAACAAUUAUCAACACAGAAGACGACUAGAGGGGAAAACUGGGUGGUCUUGUGGAACCAAGCCCCCAACCUGUGGAAUCCAACACUAUCUCUGGAUAGACAGUUUCAGAACUGAACUGUGGACACGCAGCUGGUGUCUGCUGCAGUCGCAAGUCUGGGCCUCCAGAACUUCUGACCAAUAGUCUUCAAGUUGGGGUUCCUACAACCUCCUCUUUGGGUUUAAUUUGCUGGAGCGGCUCACAGAACUCAAGGAAACACUUACUUUGGCUGACUGAUUUAUCAUGAAGGAUAUUUAAAAGCAUACAAAUAAACAAGCAGAUGAAGAGAUACAGACGGCAAGGUCUGGAAGGGUCCCAAGCACAGGAACUUCUGUCCUUGUGGGCUUAGGGUGUGCCACCCUCCUGGCAGGUGGAUGAGUUGUUCUUUACCUUUCUGCCAGCCUCCACGUGCUAAGCUCUCUGGAAGCUUCCCAAACCCUGUCCUUUAAGCCUUUCAUGGAGACUUCAUAGGUUAUCUAUGAUUGAAGCAUGGAUAAUGGUGUCAAAAUGUGAUUGGACAAGAAGUGUAUGAUGUAAACCCAGCAACGCCUAUCUGUUUAGAUCCUUCUUGGUCUCUCUGUGCAACAUUCCUUCCUCCAGAGUAUGGGGCAGGACCCUCUGUGCAAUGAGGGUCUUAUGACCCACAAGCAGAUUAGAGUCUUGCCUUGAGUGGGUGAAAGGAGGACAAGAGAAGGUCAGACAGAUUUUGUUUCCUGAAGCCUGCUUCUGAGGCCUAAAGUACCCGAGGAUUAUAAUAAAAGACUGUAACUCCCUGUUAUGGGAGUUCUUAUCUAGGAACUAUGGACAAAACCAUAUAUAUGUAUAUGGUUAUAUAGCGAUCUAUAUAAUAUAUUGUGAUCUGUAUAUAACAUAUAAUCAUAAUAUCACAUAUCAAAAGAGACUUUGCAGAUAUGAUUAAGUCAGAUAUCUUGAGAUGGGAAGAUUAUCCUAGAUUAUCUAGUUGGCAUGAUGUAAUCGCAAUGAUCUUUUUAAGAGAGAUGCAGGAGGAGUCAGAGUCAGAGGAGAGGGUAAUGUAAUGAUAUAAGUAGAGAGUAGAGUCCCACCCUUUGAAGAUAGAGAAAGGAGCCAUAAGCCAAGGAAUACAAGAAGCUGAAGAAGGCAAGGAAACAGAUUCUCCCCUCACAGCCUUCAGAAGGAAGCAGACCCGCUAAUACAUUAACCUUAACCCGCUGAAUCUGAUUUUGGACUUCAGACCUCCAGAACUGUAAGAGAAUAAACAUGUUUUGUUUUAAGCCACUAAGUUUGUGCUGAUUUGUUAUAGAGGUUACGGGAAGGUAACACAGAGACAUCACACACAGCCCCACUCACUAGAUUAAGAUACUAUUUAAUUUUACUAUGGUUGUAUUACAAAUGAUCACAAAUGCUAUGACUGAAAACAAUACAUAUGUAUUAUCUCCGUUUUUGUAGGUCAGGAAUUCAGGCACAAGUUAGCAGGGUCUGCUGUUCAGGUCUCACCAAGCUGUGAUCAAGCUGUUGUCUGGGGCUGGAGUAUCAUCUGUGGCUUAGGAUUCUCUUUUAAGCCAUACUUAUUAGCAGAUUGCAUCUUCUUCAAGCUGUAGAAGUUAUGGUGUUUUGGGGAGAGGGUCUCUGGCUUCUUUAUCUUUGACCUCUAGAUGAUCUGUUUAAAGGGCUCAUCUGAUUAAGUCAGACCCACUCAGAAUAAUGUCUCUUUUAAUUAAUUCAAAAGUCAACUGGUUUGGGACCAUAAUUUCAUCUUCAAAAUCUUUUCACCUUUGCCAUAUAACAUAACCUAAUCACAGAUAUCCCAUUCUAUUCAUAGAUCCCACCAACACUUAAGGGGAGGGAAUUAUACUGGGUGUGUACAUCAGGGGGUGGAAAUAUAGGGGACCAUAUCUUAGAGUUUUGCCUAAGUUUUGACAUUUUGCCUAAAAUGUCAUUUAUUAUAUGUAAUGUACCAUUUUAAUGUUUUCAGAGAUAUUAAUAUGUGUAUAUUUAACUUCCACAGGACUCGUUAAAACUCAUUCACCAUUUCCAUUUUUUCCAUAAAGUCUUAGGAUCUUAAACUAAAAUUCUCAUCCUUCUAGAGUUUGCAGAAAAUCUAAUGGAGAAAAUUAUUUUUC
rnacentral:lncRNA from 10 species